GUGUCAGCAGCCGCGGUAAUACGGAGGAUGCGAGCGUUAUCCGGAUUUAUUGGGUUUAAAGGGUGCGCAGGCGGGAUUUUAAGUCAGCGGUGAAAUUUUCAGGCUCAACCUGAACACUGCCGUUGAAACUGGGAUUCUUGAGUAUGGAUGAAGUAGGCGGAAUUCGUUGUGUAGCGGUGACAUGCUUAGAUAUAACGAGGAACUCCGAUUGCGUAGGCAGCUUACUAAGCCAUAACUGACGCUCAAGCACGAAAGCGUGGGGAUCAAACAGGAUUAGAUACCCUGGUAGUCCACGCCGUAAACGAUGAUUACUAGUUGUUUGCGAUAUACCGUAAGUGACUAAGCGAAAGCGAUAAGUAAUCCACCUGGGGAGUACGCCGGCAACGGUGAAACUCAAAGGAAUUGACGGGGGCCCGCACAAGCGGAGGAACAUGUGGUUUAAUUCGAUGAUACGCGAGGAACCUUACCCGGGCUUGAAAUGUACCUGACCGUCCUUGAAAAGGGACUUCUAGCAAUAGCAGGUAUGUAGGUGCUGCAUGGUUGUCGUCAGCUCGUGCCGUGAGGUGUCGGCUUAAGUGCCAUAACGAGCGCAACCCUUAUUUCCAGUUACUAACAGGUAAUGCUGAGGACUCUGGAGAGACUGCCAGCGUAAGCUGUGAGGAAGGUGGGGAUGACGUCAAAUCAGCACGGCCCUUACAUCCGGGGCGACACACGUGUUACAAUGGUAAGGACAAAGGGCAGCUACCGGGCGACCGGAUGCGAAUCUCUAAACCUUAUCUCAGUUCGGAUCGGAGUCUGCAACUCGACUCCGUGAAGCUGGAUUCGCUAGUAAUCGCGCAUCAGCCAUGGCGCGGUGAAUACGUUCCCGGGCCUUGUACACACCGCCCGUCAAGCCAUGGGAGCCGGGGGUACCUGAAGUUCGUAACCGCAAGGAUCGACCUAGGGUAAAACUGGUGACUGGGGCUAAGUCGUAACAAGGUAACC
rnacentral:rRNA from 1 species